rnacentral:rRNA from 1 species
GGAGUAUGGACCGUGUCUCAGUUCCAUUGUGGCCGUUCAUCCUCUCAGACCGGCUACCGAUCGUUGCCUUGGUGGGCCGUUACCCCGCCAACAUAGCUAAUCGGACGCAUCCCCAUCCACCACCGAUGAAUCUUUACUCCUCGUCAGAUGUCCGCAAAGGAGACCAUCAGGGAUUAAUCCAGUUUUCACUGGGCUAUACCCGAGUGGCGGGCAGGUUGGAUACGCGUUACUCACCCGUGCGCCGGUCGCCAUCAGGGAUUGCAAGCAACCCCCAUGCUGCCCCUCGACUUGCAUGUGUUAAGCCUGUAGCUAGCGUUCAUC